rnacentral:rRNA from 1 species
GAGUUUGAUCGUGGCUCAGAUUGAACGCUGGCGGCAGGCCUAACACAUGCAAGUCGAGCGGAUGACGGGAGCUUGCUCCUUGAUUCAGCGGCGGACGGGUGAGUAAUGCCUAGGAAUCUGCCUGGUAGUGGGGGACGACGUUUCGAAAGGAACGCUAAUACCGCAUACGUCCUACGGGAGAAAGCAGGGGACCUUCGGGCCUUGCGCUAUCAGAUGAGCCUAGGUCGGAUUAGCUAGUUGGUGGGGUAAUGGCUCACCAAGGCGACGAUCCGUAACUGGUCUGAGAGGAUGAUCAGUCACACUGGAACUGAGACACGGUCCAGACUCCUACGGGAGGCAGCAGUGGGGAAUAUUGGACAAUGGGCGAAAGCCUGAUCCAGCCAUGCCGCGUGUGUGAAGAAGGUUUUCGGAUUGUAAAGCACUUUAAGUUGGGAGGAAGGGCAGUAAGUUAAUACCUUGCUGUUUUGACGUUACCGACAGAAUAAGCACCGGCUAACUCUGUGCCAGCCGCCGCAAG